UUAAUAAGUUGAUGUCAGAUUUAUAUUCACGAAACCGUUUGAGCUAAUUAACACACAUAGGUAUGUUGCACAAUACAUAUUGAGUGAUAAUUAGGGGUGAUAGGCCUGACAAAUAUGGUGAUAUCUUGAUUUUCCUGAAAGAUAUUUAGUAUGAUUCUACCCUAAGAGCGACGAGGUUUUAAGGGUGACGUAAAUUUAAAUUAAACUUCAAAUAAUUGGUGUAAUUAUCCAUUUUCAACACAUAAGAAUCUAUAUUUCUUACCAAGUUGCGUUAUUUAAGGAAACGUUGUUAAUUACUAAGACUAUUAAUAAUGUUUAUAUAAGUAGUUAACUAAUUGUUAAUAAUGAACUCGGCAAAAAUAACUCCCAACUGUUUAUCAAAAACAUAGCCGGGUGUAAAUAUAUUCGGUAGCUUCUGCUCAAUGAUUCUUAAAUAGCCGCAGUACCCUGACUGUGCAAAGGUAGCAUAAUCAAUUGGCUUCUAAUUAAAGUCCGGAAUGAACGAAUGAAUGAGGGGUUAGCUUUAUAAUUGACGGAAAAUGAAAUUACUUAUUGGGUGAAAAAACCCAAAUUUAAAUAUUAGACGAGAAGACCCUAGAAAUUUGAAUAAACAAUUUUGUUGGGGCAACAUAGUAGCAAGUUAACCUACUAAAUUACUCGAAGUAAUACAGGUCGAUUAAAUUACUCUAGGGAUAACAGCAUAAUACGCCAGUGUUUGUGACCUCGAUGUUGGAUUAGGAAGUUGUAGUUUAGAAA
rnacentral:rRNA from 1 species